AGGAUGAACGCUGGCGGCGUGCUUAACACAUGCAAGUCGAACGAUGAAGGCUGGAGCUUGCUCUGGCUGGAUUAGUGGCGAACGGGUGAGUAACACGUGAGUAACCUGCCCCAGACUCUGGGAUAAGCGCUGGAAACGGCGUCUAAUACCGGAUACGAGCUUCCACCGCAUGGUGAGGAGCUAGGAAAGAAUUUCGGUCUGGGAUGGACUCGCGGCCUAUCAGCUUGUGGUGAGGUAUGGCUCACCAGGCGACGACGGGUACGCCGGCCUGGAGAGGGUCGACCGGCCACACGUGGGACUGAGACGACCGGCCCAGACCUCCGUACGGGAGCAGCAGGUGGGAAUAGUUGACAACGUAAGUCGGGACGACCG
rnacentral:rRNA from 1 species